rnacentral:misc_RNA from 1 species
UGGAUGGCCAUCAUUCCUAUCACCGUAAUUGCCUUUUCUUUUUAGUUUCUGUUGCACUACUCACCUUUACACUUGAAAAAGACAUUUGUAGGUAGUGGCUGGCAAUUUUGGACUUGCAUAGCUGAUCCAAAUGUCCCUGGAAAUGGGGCCAAAACUGGGAUGAGCAUGCACUAAACACAAAAUAACUAGAAAAUUUUAGGUUCAAACUCCAGCAACCAAAUAACUUGAAAUAAUUUAUUUUUAAAUUGAAAAUUUCCAGAAAUUGACUAAUUGCAAAGUGAAACCUCAAAAUAGUUACAAAAUGACUCAAGCAACCUGAAAUGAAUUCCCAAAAAUCUAACUUUUGCAUGAUCUGGAGUUUGAAAUGUGGAGUGACUUGAACCCAAAACAACAUGAAAAUUUGGCAUUUGAAACAAACAGCCUGAACUGAAAGGACUAAAUCCUAACCCAUCUCCAGACCCAAGUAUGCAUAAACAAAUAGACACUUGAAAAAUCGACUGAUUUGUGUCUAGGGUGAGUGGAAUGGUAGAAGCACCCAUGAAAAUUUUUAAAAAUUCCUAUGCCCUUUCAUAUUGUGUUAUCCUGAUAUUUCAGUUCCUGGACAGCUUGUCCUUUUGGUGGGUACAAAA